CUUCAAGAAUUAAAUAUUUAUUAAAAUAUCAGUAUGCUAUUGUUUCUAAUAAAAUUAUCAAAAGAUUUAAGGUUUGUAAUAAUACCUCUCAAUAGGAUACAUCUAUUUAUAAUAUACUGGUCCACCAACUUUAACUUCUGAAGCUAGGUGAAUGAGCAGAUGCACCAUAAUAUUGAAAAAUCUAGGAGAAAAAAUCUUUUCCAUCUGGCAAAGUGUAAUUGC
rnacentral:lncRNA from 1 species